ACGGCCGUUGGGUCCCACCCCCGGUCUCUAGGCAAUGCUGCACGGCCAUCUUAGGUUCGGGCGGAAGAGCUGGGGGAGGUGGGGUGGCCCUGGCUCUGGCCCUGGUCCUGGUCCUGGUCCUGGUCCUGGUCCUGGACCUGAUCCUGAUCCUGGCCCUGGCUCUGGCCCUGGCCCUGGUCCCGGUCCUGGUCCUGGUGCACUAUGGAAGCAGGCAUCUCUUGGCUGAGAGAGGGGACAUGGCGAAGGGUUGCAUGUCGCUCUGCCUGCCACGGAGCAGGCCCUGAUAUUGCCUCUCUACUUUACCAAGCUCUGGCAAAGGAAGCAGCAAAGCACAUGGUAGCUAUUUUUUCUUGCUGGCCCUACUAGUUCAUAACACCAUUGUCCAUGUCUGCUGGCAUGCUGACUGCUCAGAUCCUCUUGCAUUGCAAUGCAGCUGCCUGCUCUCAGGGGAUGUCAGGUCAUUGCUCAACUCCUUUGAGCCUGUCUUGCCUUUCCCAGUUGCCCACGUGACUACUGUAGUACUGGACAACAUUGGACUGCCAAGUUUUUGACAUGACUUCCUGCAGAACUUCUCCCAUGGGUUUCUCCUCUCCAUCCUUUACUGGACAGGACUGAGCAGUUCUCAGCUGCCUGCUGUCUUCAAAUAGAGUCCUGCUGUGGGCAAAUCUCAAGCCCCAUGUCUUCCUUUCAUCUGUGCCUCAUUGGUAAACAGCAUAUCUUUCCAUUUCCAACCCCACUGUCUACUGCAGGGAACUGGCUGUUGGGGGUGGAAAGCUAGGAUUUUGUACAGGAAAGUAAGAUGAAUGACUCCAUUAAAUAAAUAUCACUGCUCUGCUUGUUAUUUCAAAAGAAGAGAUUACAAAAAAACAAUAGAUGCAUUUUAAAUACAUUAAAAUUCUGAGUAAAAUAAAGCCUUAAAUACAAUGCUCAUGUAACAUAAAUCAUACAGCUUUUUUCUAUCCCUGCACAUGGAAAGCAAAACCGUAUUAUUAUAUCAUUAUUUAUAUGGCACCAUAUGCUAAGUCUGGAACUUAAAGACUUUCAAAUAAAUAAGAAAACACCAGCUGCAGAUCAGCAAUACGCUCUUUUAUUGGGAGUCACUGUGUAACUGUGGCUAUCAUUCCUGCUGUUAAGUUAAAACUUAAAUAAAUUGUCAGAGAAAUAAGAUAGCCAUUAGAGAUUCAGUGUCUGUCUCCUGGGGACACUUUUUCUAACAGCUGUAACAAAGAUCUGCUGCUGGUUUUGUCCUAUCUGUGUAGUAACUCAUUGCAUUUGUCCCUGCAGUAUCACAGUUGUUCAGUAGAGAUGGUUGAGCUGUUCACUAUAAAUAAUGUUGGUUAACAAUGCGGCCCCUUUUGGGUUAAUAAAUUACGGUCAAACCACUCCUGAGCCCCUUUGAUUGGUUUCUUGCAAGUCUGCAGUGAAGAGUUGGAACAAAUCACUUUUCACAGUCUCUUCAUUUUGAAUAUUUCUUCUUAUUUUAUUGUGCUGUAAAUAAAUAAAU